CCAAUAGCGUAUAUUAAAGUUGUUGCAGUUAAAAAGCUCGUAGUUGAAUUUCGGGGUUAGCAGGUUGGUCGUGCCACUGGUAUGAACUGGCCUUGCUGAUUCCUCCCUCUUGAUGAGCCGUAAUGCCAUUAAUUUGGUGUUGCGAGGAAUCAGGACUGUUACUUUGAAAAAAUUAGAGUGUUUAAAGCAGGCAAGCGCUUGAAUACAUUAGCAUGGAAUAAUGAAAUAGGACGUUUGAUCUUAUUUUGUUGGUUUCUAAGAUUGACGUAAUGAUUAAUAGGGAUAGUUGGGGGCAUUAGUAUUCAAUUGUCAGAGGUGAAAUUCUUGGAUUUAUUGAAGACUAACUACUGCGAAAGCAUUUGCCAAGGAUGUUUUCAUUAAUCAAGAACGAAAGUUAGGGGAUCGAAGACGAUCAGAUACCGUCGUAGUCUUAACCAUAAACUAUGCCGACUAGGGAUCGGAUGAUGUUAAUUUUUUAAUGACUCAUUCGGCGCCUUACG
rnacentral:misc_RNA from 1 species